ACGCCACACAGUCACUCAAGAGAUUGAGGAGAGGCUCACAACUGAGAUUGAGCAGAGGAUUACUAACAAGUUAAAGAUAGAGUUUGAACAGAUUCCUUAUGCCUCUGGUGGAAAUCAACGAGUUAGGGAGUCCGUAGGAGAUGACAUCCAAGAUGAUGAAUUGUUGGAUUCUCAUGAGCAGGUUUUGCAGAAAGAUUAGUGGUGUGGUAGAGAUUAAUGGUGGCAUGGAGGCUAAUUGUUUUUUUGAACAUCUAUCUUUAUGUUUUUGCUGCCAUUUUUUCUAUUUUUGUUUAUAGGUUCUGCAGAAAGAAUAGUGGUGUAGUAGAGAUUGAUGGUGGCAUUGGGUCUAAUUGUUUUUUUGGAUAUUAUUUUGGCUGCCAUCUAAACUUAAGUUUUAGAUAAUUCUAUACUUAAUAUUUAGAGCUUAUUGAUAUCUUAUAGUUUAUAUUAACGAAUUAUUGUUAAUAUUUUGAUGUAAUUGAACAGAU